AGCUUGACUGCGAGCGUGACGGCGCGAGCAGGUGCGAAAGCAGGUCAUAGUGAUCCGGUGGUUCUGAAUGGAAGGGCCAUCGCUCAACGGAUAAAAGGUACUCCGGGGAUAACAGGCUGAUACCGCCCAAGAGUUCAUAUCGACGGCGGUGUUUGGCACCUCGAUGUCGGCUCAUCACAUCCUGGGGCUGAAGUAGGUCCCAAGGGUAUGGCUGUUCGCCAUUUAAAGUGGUACGCGAGCUGGGUUUAGAACGUCGUGAGACAGUUCGGUCCCUAUCUGCCGUGGGCGCUGGAGAACUGAGGGGGGCUGCUCCUAGUACGAGAGGACCGGAGUGGACGCAUCACUGGUGUUCGGGUUGUCAUGCCAAUGGCACUGCCCGGUAGCUAAAUGCGGAAGAGAUAAGUGCUGAAAGCAUCUAAGCACGAAACUUGCCCCGAGAUGAGUUCUCCCUGACUCCUUGAGAGUCCUGAAGGAACGUUGAAGACGACGACGUUGAUAGGCCGGGUGUGUAAGCGC
rnacentral:rRNA from 1 species